UGGGGAAUAUUGGACAAUGGGCGAAAGCCUGAUCCAGCCAUGCCGCGUGUGUGAAGAAGGUCUUCGGAUUGUAAAGCACUUUAAGUUGGGAGGAAGGGCAGUAAGCGAAUACCUUGCUGUUUUGACGUUACCGACAGAAUAAGCACCGGCUAACUCUGUGCCAGCAGCCGCGGUAAUACAGAGGGUGCAAGCGUUAAUCGGAAUUACUGGGCGUAAAGCGCGCGUAGGUGGUUCGUUAAGUUGAAUGUGAAAGCCCCGGGCUCAACCUGGGAAAUGCAUCCAAAACUGGCGAGCUAGAGUAGGGCAGAGGGUGGUGGAAUUUCCUGUGUAGCGGUGAAAUGCGUAGAUAUAGGAAGGAAAAACAGUGGCGAAGGCGACCACCUGGGCUCAUACUGACACUGAGGUGCGAAAGCGUGGGGAGCAAACAGG
rnacentral:rRNA from 1 species